AUGAACUCGGCCCUUGUGGCAGAAUUCAGUGUAGAUGAGGUCAAGGCGGCACUAAAGGAAAUUGGGGAUCUGAAGGCCCCAGGGGAGGAUGGCAUGCCGGGAAUCUUUUACAAGCACUAUUGGGAUGAUGUGGGGGCAAGAAUUACACAGGAAGUGCUAGCAUUCCUAAACGGAGGGCCUAUGCCGGCUGACUGGAACAACACAUUGAUAACCCUAAUCCCAAAGAAAGGGCUCGAGAUUUCUCCGCUCUGCCCAAUUUGCCGCAUUCACAAGGAGGACGGGAGCCAUCUCCUCUUUAAAUGCAAGCAAGUCAAGGAGGUGUGGCGCCUUUGUGGACUGGAGGCGGAGAGGCUGCUAUUAAUGGACCAGCGAACGGCAAUGACAAUGGUGGAGAAGUUGAUAGCCUUCCCUAUGGAGAAGCAAGCUCUCAUCGCUACACUCGUGUGGAACUGGUGGUGUGAGCGAAAUAACCGCAGAGAAGGAGGCAAAGGCAAAUUGAACGAGGAACUAGCAUGGAUUAUCCAACAUCAGACGCAUGAAUUCUGCACUCUUCAGCAAACCAAAAAGAACGCUUGUUCAUUACCCAAACAGCGUUGGAUGCCACCACCCGAGGAGUGGAUUAAGAUUAAUAUUGAUGGUUCAUUCAGGCCAGAUGAAAGAAAUGGGGGCUGGGGUGCAGUGUUCAGGGACCAUAUGGGCGAUGUGCUGAUAUGCUUGUUGCUGAAACUGCACUUCAUUUGGCUUCAGACCUGGGAAUGGGCAGGGUGUACUUGGAAACGGAUGCACUUCUACUGA
rnacentral:rRNA from 1 species